CAAGGAAUCUUCCGCAAUGGGGGCAACCCUGACGGAGCAACGCCGCGUGGGUGACGACACCCUUCGGGGCGUAAACCCCUUUUCUGCCGGAAGAAGGCCUCGGCUUGACGGUACGGCAGGAAGAAGGACCGGCUAACCACGUGCCAGCAGCCGCGGUAAUACGUGGGGUCCGAGCGUUGUCCGGAGUUACUGGGCGUAAAGGGCGCGCAGGCGGCGGCGUGGGUCCGGCGUGAAAGCCCCCGGCUCAACCGGGGAGGGUCGUCGGGGACCGCGCCGCUUGAGGGCGGCAGGGGCCGGUGGAAUGCCUGGUGUAGUGGUGAAAUGCGUAGAGAUCAGGCGGAACACCCGUGGCGAAGGCGGCCGGCUGGGCCGUCCCUGACGCUGAGGCGCGAAGGCGUGGGGAGCGAACGGG
rnacentral:rRNA from 1 species